CCUGUCAUGGCCGGUGAUCGUAAAAAAAGUGCUUUCAUUUAGAGAAUCAAUUCUGCCUCAAUGGCUAAUAACAUGAUGAGAUGGAGCUUGAGGAGCUACACCAAGCCAUUAAACAAGUGGCUAAAGAGACCCAAAAGCUUUGUGGCUUCUUCACUUGGAAGCAACAUGAGCAUCGCUUCGACCGAAUUGAGGCUAUAGUUAAUGCGAUUAAACAUCACUUAGGGCUUGAAGAUGAGCUUUCAACGUCAACAAGUCUAGUGAUACCAUUUUUGUUUAGUGAAGCUCGUGAUAUAAUAGAAACUACCGACAGUAAUUAUUUCACCAAGUUGGCCGAUAAAGUCUCCAAGAGUUCUACUGCUGACUCGUGAGCAAUUUCUACACGUUUUAUGGAGUUGAUUGAUCCGCCGACCAUUGAAGCUCAAGACAAGAAAACCCAAGUUAAGCACGCCAAACCCUUCAAUCACUGCAACCAUUUCUUCAAUAUGAAGGGCAUUAGCGGUCGAAGGUGCGAACUGAAGGAUGAAUAAACGCAUAUUGAAUAAACUAAAAUAUUUCCAGUUACGCAUCUUGCUUAAUGAAUGGAUCUCUUCGUAAAGCUUCAAUAUGCGUCACUGAAAUUCUUUUCAGAAUGGCUGGUCUACCGAUGGUGGAGAACUGCCUCUCGGGAUAUAAUAGUUGUAUGUUUGCAUAUGGACAGAUAGAAUAUGAUUGGGUACUCUUCAACUAAGUAAGAAUGGUGUUAGAUGAAGUUGUUUGUACCAUGUAAGCAUGGGAGUAUUGAAAAUGGGUUUAAAUUCUUAGAUUGCAAUUUACAUUAUAAUCAUGUAUAUUGUAGGAUUGAAAUUAGUUGUUGAUCUCUUGUAUAUAUACUGAAAUUUCUUACUGCUUGUAUAAUUGCAUUAAUUAUUAUUAUUAUUUUUU